CCCCUAGAUGUUCUGGGCCGCACGCGCGCUACACUGAACAGUUCAACAAGUCUUAACCUUGGCCGAUAGGUCUGGGUAAUCUUUGAACGCUGUUCGUGAUUGGGAUAGACCUUUGCAAUUAUGGGUCUUCAACGAGGAAUUCCUAGUAAACGCAAGUCAUCAGCUUGCAUUGAUUACGUCCCUGCCCUUUGUACACACCGCCCGUCGCUCCUACCGAUUGAAUGAUCCGAUGAAUACCAUGGAUUGAGAGUACGAAUAGGUUCGCUUAUUUCUGCUUCUCGAGAAGUGGAGUAAAUCUUAUCAUUUAGAGGAAGGAGAAGUCGUAACA
rnacentral:rRNA from 1 species